rnacentral:rRNA from 1 species
GACGAACGCUGGCGGCGUGCUUAACACAUGCAAGUCGAACGGUGAAGCCCUUCGGGGUGGAUCAGUGGCGAACGGGUGAGUAACACGUGAGCAACCUGCCCCUGGCUCUGGGACAACCACUGGAAACGGUGGCUAAUACCGGAUACGACCCGCCUCGGCAUCGAGUGUGGGUGGAAAGUUUUUCGGCUGGGGAUGGGCUCGCGGCCUAUCAGCUUGUUGGUGAGGUGAAGGCUCACCAAGGCGACGACGGGUAGCCGGCCUGAGAGGGCGACCGGCCACACUGGGACUGAGACACGGCCCAGACUCCUACGGGAGGCAGCAGUGGGGAAUAUUGCACAAUGGGCGAAAGCCUGAUGCAGCGACGCCGCGUGAGGGAUGACGGCCUUCGGGUUGUAAACCUCUUACAGCUCCGAAGAAGCGAAAGUGACGGUAGGAGCAGAAGAAGCACCGGCUAACUACGUG